CCCUUAGAUGUUCUGGGCCGCACGCGCGCUACACUGACGAAUGCAACGAGCUUAUAACCUUGGCCGAAAGGUCUGGGUAAUCUCCAAAUUUCGUCGUGAUGGGGAUAGAUUAUUGCAAUUAUUAAUCUUCAACGAGGAAUGCCUAGUAAGCGCAAGUCAUCAGCUUGCGUUGAUUACGUCCCUGCCCUUUGUACACACCGCCCGUCGCUCCUACCGAUUGAAUGGUCCGGUGAAGCGUUCGGACCGUGGCCUUUGGACGGUUCGCCGUCUGUUGGCUGCGGGAAGUUCGUUAAACCUUAUCAUUUAGGGGAAGGAGAAGUCGUANCA
rnacentral:rRNA from 1 species